AACAUCGCGCACCUGCGGGAACCUGCGGAAGGAUCAUUACAGAGUUGCAAGACUCCCUAAACCAUUGUGAACCUACCUUCUACCGUUGCUUCGGCGGGCGGGCCCAGCGCCCCCCCGGCCCCCCGCGGGCGCCCGCCGGAGGAUACCCAAACUCUUGACAUUAGUGGCCUCUCUGAGUAUUCUUUACUGAAUAAGUCAAAACUUUCAGCAAUGGAUCU
rnacentral:misc_RNA from 1 species